GGAGGGUGCAAGCGUUAAUCGGAAUUACUGGGCGUAAAGCGCACGCAGGCGGUCUGUCAAGUCGGAUGUGAAAUCCCCGGGCUCAACCUGGGAACUGCAUUCGAAACUGGCAGGCUAGAGUCUUGUAGAGGGGGGUAGAAUUCCAGGUGUAGCGGUGAAAUGCGUAGAGAUCUGGAGGAAUACCGGUGGCGAAGGCGGCCCCCUGGACAAAGACUGACGCUCAGGUGCGAAAGCGUGGGGAGCAAACAGGAUUAGAUACCCUGGUAGUCCACGCCGUAAACGAUGUCGACUUGGAGGUUGUGCCCUUGAGGCGUGGCUUCCGGAGCUAACGCGUUAAGUCGACCGCCUGGGGAGUACGGCCGCAAGGUUAAA
rnacentral:rRNA from 1 species